GUCAAUGUUACCUGUUCAGGUUGGUGCUUUUGAGUCCUCCCUGCCUGCCUUCGACCUGCAGGAAAAGUUGUUGCAUGUAUUUACAUGAUCUUGUCUCUAAGUGUUUGAAAAAGUGACAUAUGAAUAUUGUCCUGCUUUUUCUUUCAUAUGAUAACGCUAAAUGUACCAAAACUGCGCAGUUUUUUAGAACGUGCGACUUUUUCAAAACGGCGCCCCAUAGGCGGGGGGAUCCGUGUCAGCGGACAAAGACUCACAGGUCGACAAAAACGAGUCAAAACACGGGACGGCACUCAGGAAAAUACCUGCAGCAGGACUUCAGUAAAGACGCAGUAACGAAAGGCUCAAGCAGACACUUUAUGAAACUCUUUCCGGAAUUACCCACAAGUCAUUGCAAUGUGACGUCAAAAACGGGACAACCAGUCAGCGCUGAGGGGAAAAAGAAAGGGAGGAGAUGAUCUGCAGCAUCCUGGUGAUCUUCAUCCUGACCUCCUGUGUCUGUGCAGGGUCCUUUGUAGUGAAUGUGACACAGAGCAGGUAUCAUGCAGAGGAGAACCACAACAUCUCACUGGAAUGGAUGUUCCCCACCAGCACGGACCACUCCACCAACUCCCUCUAUGUCUCCUGUGAGAUGUUAGCUGAUCAGACACCUUUACUCAUGUUUCAUCUAUAUAAAGGUGUUGAGGUCCCACAGAUACAAGACGAACACUUUUCAGGACGAGUCCAGUGGGACAAAGACGUCCUCAGAGAAGGACGACUCAGACUUCACAUCUCCAGACUCCAGACUAAUGACUCUGGGCUGUACUGGUGUGAAGUGCUCACAAGUUAUGGGAAGAACUAUAAGGAAUGUCACCUCAAUGUCACUGCAGUGAAGGAUCGACCUGAACCUGAGACAACCAGUGACACCAGUCUGAGAGGAAGGAUCGGUCUCUACUGUGUACUGGGAAUACUGGGACUAGCAGCAGCUCUACUGGGUUUUCAUUUAUUUUAUCUCUGCAUUGCAAAAAAGACUAGUGAUCAACACAAAACACGACACAUCAGAACCACAAUUCAAGAUAUUAAUCUUGAAACAUUGGGACCAAAAUGAUUGACCUUCUGGUAGGACUUCUGACAUCACAGUAUGAAUGGAAGUCAAUGGUGGCAUCAAGCGUCAGGACAGCUGUGGGUGGAGAGUCCAGUCAGAGGAUCCACGGUUCCAUCCCAGAACCUGCUGGCCCGUGUGUUGAUGUGUCCUUGAGCAAGACACUUGACCAGCAUCACUCCUGUAGCUGUGACCUCACAGUGUCCAUAUUCGUUUUUUUUUUCUUUGCCUGAGAUUCAAAGGAAAUCCAGUCUUUUUGUCCUGGACCUCUUCAGCUCCUCUAACAGAGACUCUUACUACUGAACAGAUGCUGCAUUAAGCGUCACUCUGGUCCUGAUCCAAGACGAAUGUUCCUUCUGGUUCUUGUUUCUAAAGAAGAUUUAGAUUCUGUAUGUUUACUUGCUGACUUGCUCACAUUGUUCUGGUGACUUUACGUCUGGUCGUUGCUCCACAGAAGAAGAAGACGUCACUCGGGACGUUGUGGUCGUAAAUCAUUUUACUGUAACAAUGUAGCCUCACUAAAGCCGCACCUUGCCUCAAUAUUGCAUUUUGCACAUAUUGCGAUUAAUCGCUGUCAAUCAGAAUAAUGAUGCGAUUAAUCAAAUUCAAAUUUUUCAUCUUUUAUUACUCUUAUACAUACUAUAUCAUAUUUGUACAAAACAUAUACUGUUACAUUACUUAUAUUAUCCUACUUUUUUUAAAUAAACCAUUACC